AGUGAACGCUGGCGGUAGGCCUAACACAUGCAAGUCGAACGGCAGCACAGUAAGAGCUUGCUCUUACGGGUGGCGAGUGGCGGACGGGUGAGGAAUACAUCGGAAUCUACUUUUUCGUGGGGGAUAACGUAGGGAAACUUACGCUAAUACCGCAUACGACCUACGGGUGAAAGCAGGGGAUCUUCGGACCUUGCGCGAUUGAAUGAGCCGAUGUCGGAUUAGCUAGUUGGCGGGGUAAAGGCCCACCAAGGCGACGAUCCGUAGCUGGUCUGAGAGGAUGAUCAGCCACACUGGAACUGAGACACGGUCCAGACUCCUACGGGAGGCAGCAGUGGGGAAUAUUGGACAAUGGGCGCAAGCCUGAUCCAGCCAUACCGCGUGGGUGAAGAAGGCCUUCGGGUUGUAAAGCUCUUUUGUUGGGAAAGAAAAGCAGCAGGUUAAUACCCCGCUGUUCUGACGGUACCCAAAGAAUAAGCACCAGCUAACUUCGUG
rnacentral:rRNA from 1 species